GUAGGUGGCAAGCGUUGUCCGGAAUUAUUGGGCGUAAAGCGCGCGCAGGCGGUUCUUUAAGUCUGAUGUGAAAGCCCACGGCUCAACCGUGGAGGGUCAUUGGAAACUGGAGAACUUGAGUACAGAAGAGGAAAGCGGAAUUCCACGUGUAGCGGUGAAAUGCGUAGAGAUGUGGAGGAACACCAGUGGCGAAGGCGGCUUUCUGGUCUGUAACUGACGCUGAGGCGCGAAAGCGUGGGGAGCAAACAGGGAUUAGAUACCCUGGUAGUCCACGCCGUAAACGAUGAGUGCUAAGUGUUAGGGGGGUUUCCGCCCCCUUAGUGCUGCAGCUAACGCAUUAAGCACUCCGCCUGGGGAGUACGACCGCAAGGUUG
rnacentral:rRNA from 1 species